UUAAAAGUGUUCCCUUCAUCGCCAUAUAUUUUGCUUCGAUGGUCAUUGUCAAUGCUAAUAUUAACAGUUAAGGUUAUAUUCAACACGAUCAUGACAAGCAAUCAAUGGAGUUUUUCUUGUGGAACUGAAGUACUAGAGACUUGUGCUUCACUUUAUUUUAAGAGUUUUUUUUACUAUCGUUGAUUUUGUGGUAUAGGUAGAGAUAUUUAGACUUCAAUAGUAUCUUUUGAAUGAGUUACUCUAUUUAAUAAUUGUUUGUAUUGUUUAAGAUUUAGUGUUUUCACUUGUUUU